AGCACUGAGAAAUAUCAGCAUAUAUAUGCUAGAAUCCCCUCUCAAACACAAAAACCACAUCUCAACAAUGGAGAAAUCAACAAUGCUUCCUUGGAUCAAGAUCUUUAUUCUCAUCCUUCUCCUAGUCCCUAUUUGCUCAUCUUCAGGCAGAGCUACUAGCUUCAACGAUGGUAUGGAGCAAACAUACCAACCUGGUGAGGUGAUUUUCCAAAUGAAGAUAAGAAAGCUUAUAGGAGCUGGAGCAAUGUUGGAUUAUCAAGACCCAGUAGCCAAUCCUACACAUGAGCCGCCAAAGAGAGGUGGUAAAGGCUAAAGAAGGCAACAAUCUUUGAGCAACUUAGACCUCAUCUUAUAUCUUUUUGAGCUUCUGUGAGAUUAAUGUCACUUAGAGAGAGAUAGAGAGGCAUGUUGAGUAAAAUUCUCCUAUAAGUUUGCUACAAAUUUUAGGUGUGAAUAGUAUAUAUGUAACUUCCCUUGCGUUUAAAGUUGGCCAUAUAUAGAAGAUUGAUUGAGGAUG